UAAUAAAAAAAUCUUAUCAAUUCAUUUAUUAAAUUUACCGACCUCAUGAAAUCGGUAAAUUUAAUAAAAAUCUAAACCCUCCUUCUUCUUUUACCUCAUUUUUACUUUUGUCCCUCUUAAAAAUCUAAACCCCCGUCUCUCUCUCUUUCCCUUUCUCCACCGCCCUCUAGCCAGAUCCGUCGCCACCCAGCCAGGUCUGGCAUCCAGUACGCCGUCGCCAACAUCUAUUCCAGAUCUAGUUCCUGGUGAUUUUGUCCAUGUCAUUGGAGAUGCUCAUGUUUAUCGUAAUCAUGUCAGACCUCUACAAGACCAGCUUCAGAAGUUUCCCAGACCUUUCCCAGUGCUGAAGAUCAAUCCGCAGAAAAAGGAUAUAGAUUCCUUUGUUGCUGCUGACUUUAAUCUUGUUGGUUAUGAUCCUCACCAGAAAAUAGAAAUGAAGAUGGCAAUAUGAAGUGCCAUGGAAUCAGUCCUGGAAUUCCUCUGCUCUUACAAUAAGUUGCUUUUAUUUUGAGGCAAGUGAUGGAAUUUCCCAUCUUCUGUUUUCUUCUCUCUUCGGUACUUACAUGACCUAAUUUUUUUUAAUGUGGGAGAUUUCCUGUAGGCGUUGUCUUAGAUCCAUUGCUUGACGUUCUGAGUGUAAGAGAGCAAGUGUGAUGCCCAAACUUUCCCAUUUUCCUUCACCUGGUAGCUGUUGCCUGUAGGAAAAGGGGGAGCUCUAGUUGAUGGCUGUGGAAAGUUUUGUUUAUUAUAUGUUGCAACUAUGAUCGCAAGUCAAAUACCCAAAAAAUUACUGGAGUUUGUCAAAUAUACUUUAACACCAGAUUUCCCUUUAAUAAUUUACAAAAACUAAUGUUUUUUGGACACUGCGCACUUCUAAAGGUACCCCUGGCUCCAGGGCCCCUGUCAACCACUAAAAUACCUACCGUUCGGCCAUAGGUUGUAGUAAAUGAAGCCUACCGCUAAGGCCUAUAUCCGAUAAUGGUAAACCUUUAGUUUAAUUAACAAACUCUGUAUUCAAAGAUUCUAGUUCUGAAACCGUGCAUUUCAGAUCCGUGAAUCGAAAACACAAAUCAUUAUAUGUGUAAAAGAGUUCAGCAUGGAGCUGCAACUAUUGGGCAUGAAGCCAAGGAAAGCCCAAAGUAGCUGAUAGAGAAGUUAUCAGCUGCUCUAGUUAAUGUUAGUGCAAAAGAAGACUUAGUUAAGCAGCAUGCUAAAGUGGCAGAAGAAGCCGUUGCAGGUUGGGAAAAGUCAGAAAAUGAGGUUGCAGUUCUAAAGCAGCAACUUGAGGCAGCUGAGCAACAAAACUUGACUUUGGAUGUUCGCGUCAACCAUCUUGAUGUUUGCGAGGGGUGAAGUAGUCUAAUGUUGUAGACUAACUUAAUGUAGACUAGUUUAAUGUUUUGUGGAUGUUUACAAAUGUUGAAGUAGUUUAAUGUUUUUUUGAUGUUUGCAAAGGUUGAAGUAGCUUAAGUCUCUUGUGAAUGUUUGAUUGAUGUUUUUAUUCAACUUUGAAGUAGUUUCAAAUUGAA